GGAAAUGAUGAUGUAAUUUGCGUCAUAGGGUGUGGUCAGUGACGGUUGCCUGCCGUCAUAUACUGCUACAUAUCUGUGAAGACAGCAUACUCAUUACUGAUCC